rnacentral:lncRNA from 1 species
AUAUUCUAGUGCUAAAAUAUUUAUCAGCAAGUACUAGUAGCAAGGAACCGUAGCAACUUGGUAGCAACGGGAGAACCGAGCGUGCUCGGUUGGCUAGCAUCGCUGGUGAGCGAGCAGCCCGCGCGGGUUCGAUCCCUGGGAUCGUCACCCGCGCGUCUCACCGGGAUUUAUUCCCAAAUAAAUUUCCAGCUCUCCCGUGCCAGCGCCACAAUAGUAGAGUGACGUCCUCGUCACGCACAAGGUCCUUAGGUGGCUUUGUGUAUCUCAUUAGCACGUGUGUGUAUAGUUGAUAGGUGGAGUGUGUGUGCGUGGUGGAGUGCGUUUGCACGUAUGUUCAGAUACUACAGCUUGUACUCAAAGUGGAGAGCUCUCAAAAAAAAAAAAACUUGGUAGCAACGGGUGUCGCCGGCUGGCCAGACUCUCUUGCCAUGGCUUCCCAACAUCUCAUCCUCCUCCUCGCGAUCUUCGUCUCGCUCUGCGUAGCGGCGAUCGGUCAGGGCAACAAAAUCGUUCCGUUUAACCCAUCCUGCUCAACCACCGGAAACUACUCCGGCGACAGCCAGUACAAGAAGAACCUCGACCAGCUCCUCUCCACACUUGCCACGGCCGCCACCGACGAUGGCUGGUUCAACACCAGCUCGGUCGGAACGGGUGGCGACGACCAGGUGUUCGGCCUCAUCAUGUGCUACGCCGACCGCAAUCCGACGCAAUGCAAGGAAUGCCUCGCCGGCGCACCCGCGGGGAUCACGCAGGUGUGCCCGGGAAGUCGGACGGUGAACGCCAACUACGACGCCUGCCUCCUCCGCUACUCCGACGUCUCCUUCUUCUCCGUCGCCGACAAGACCGUUGCCUUCAACGUGUACGCCAAAUCCUACGUCGAGAACAUGGCCGCCAUGAACGAGACGCGGUGGCAGCUGAUGAGCCAGCUCGCGGAGACGGCCGGCCAAACCAAGCUCAGGCUGGACACCGGAAGUACGCGGCUCGGAUCAACAUCGAUGAUGUACGGUCUGGCUCAGUGCACGAGGGACCUGGCGGUGAGCGAGUGCAGCACCUGUCUGUCUGACUACAUUGUGCAACUCAGCAAAAUCUUCCCCAACAACAGCUGGGCCGCCAUUAAGGGGUACAGCUGCUACCUCAGGUACGACCUCUCGCCGUUUGGCAUCACUCUUCCGCCAUCGUCUCCGGUGCCUCCUCCGUCGUCCACAAGGUCAACAGGAUUCGUCGCCGGCCUGUCUGUCGCCGGCGCCGUCUCUUUCAUGGUCAUUCUUGGCGUCUCGAUCUGGCUCCUCUUGCGCCGCCGCCGGAAGCACGCCCGGCUGAUGAGGGAGCAUCAGGAGAUGGAAGAUGACUUCGAAAAGGGGACCAGACCAAAGCGAUUCCGCUACGACGAGCUCUCCGUCGCCACAGACUUCUUCUCCGACGACUGCAAGCUCGGGGAAGGCGGGUUCGGGUCAGUGUACAAAGGAUUCUUGAAGGAUCUGAAUCUUGAAGUAGCCAUUAAAAAAGUGUCCUAGAGCUCGAAGCAGGGGAGGAAGGAGUACGAGUCAGAGGUGCGUAUCAUUAGUCGCCUCCGCCACCGCAAUCUGGUGCAGCUCAUCGGCUGGUGCCACGACGGAAGCGAGCUCCUCCUCGUCUACGAGCUCAUGCCCAACGCCAGCCUCGACACCCACCUCUACAACGCCAACGCCAACGUGCUCCCGUGGCCACUCAGGUACAACCAUCUCCAAAAGAUUCUAAUUUUGUCCGUGGCAUGUGACGGCAAUAUUAGUUAGUCAGGCACAUUUAAGUGAGCUCCUACAUUAACCAAAAAUAUCUAGUUAUUGAUUAGAUAGUUUGUAUUGUCGUGUAACAGCAAAUAUCUAUCUAUCUAUCUAUCUAUCUAUCUAUCUUCUAUCUAUCUAUCUAUUAUUAUAUACUAAAAGUCCAUUAAACUUCCUAUAAACGCUCUCAAGCCGCCACGUAGCGCUCUACAAACGCUCCUAAGUCGCCACGUGGCGCUCUAAUAAAUUAGAAAAAAAUCCUAGAAAAAAGAAAAACAUCUCACCAUUGAUUUUCACUUAAAUCAGUGGACCCAUUAUUUUUAACCAUUAGACCGAUUUAAAGGAAUAGAUACUCAAACCAACCUAUGGGCCUAUUAGAUCCCUCUAGAUCUAUCUCGCAGAAUUUGUAACCUUCCCUUCCCCUGCAGUACUUGCCACCGUACGUAAGUACGUACAUAUGUGCAACGUAUUCCACAUGCCCUCCCCUUUUCUCCUAUUUUCUAAAAACUCAUUAUAAAAUAGUUUUAAUUUUAAAUAGCUAAAUAAUCAUGAUUCUCAAUUUAUAUAAAGCAUUAAAUUCAUUUGUGCUAUUUUUAUUUGUAAUUAAAUAAAUACAUCAAGAUCGGUAUUGCAUAUAUUUUGCCAGGUGAAGAAAAAACUGAAAUACCUAUAAACGCUCCCGUAUCGCCACGUGGCAUUCCUACAAAUACUCAUAAAUUGAUACAUGACAUUUCAAUAAAUUAGUAAAAAUAAAAAACAUGCUCCCUUGAUUUUAAGUAAAUUAGUGGGUCUAAUAUCCUGAACCAUCAGAUCUAUCUGUAAAUUAAAAACGAAUCCCAAUUUCCAAUCGUUUGUUCUGCGUGUACGUGUACGGAUCUACACCCAACCUCCCUUUCCUUUUCUCUCUCUCUCUCUCUCUCUGUGUGUUUUUUUUUCAUUUCUAACGAACUCUCACUUUUUAUGUAUGGUAAUUAAAAUGAUAUAUAAUCCCAACUUAUUUUCAACUCGGUUAGACUAAGCUCAGCUCAUUGUGCACUUCAAGGGCUGCAUGACCUUUAUGGGUUUUACAAAAAAAAUAGACAAUCUUUCAACAAUUGUAGCUUUUAAAUUAUAAAUUCAAUUCAUAUGUAUGUUAGAACCAUAGUUUCAAUAUACUUAUCUAUAAUAUACUUAAAAAUUCACUAAAAUUCCUAGAAACGCUAUUAAACCGUCAUGUGAGAUUUCUAAAAAUGCUCCUAUACCGCUAUAUGGAGGCAAAAUUUAGCCGUCGAUUUUUAAUUAAAUAGGUGGUUCCAUUAUUUUAGACCAUUAGUUAGAAUAAAAAAGAAGCUAUUCCUCCCUCUCAUCUCACCCGCGUGUACGUACGCCUCCCUCAUCCCAUUCGUACGCAUGUAACGUAUAUGUGCCCCACUUUUUUUUACUCUCCAUUUAACCUUUUCUUUAUUUAGUUUUAUAUUGAAUACCCUACAAUAUAUUGGUCUCACCUAUGAUUUUUUAUGCUAUUGAUAUUUGAGCAUAUAUUUAAUCAUUCACUUUAGUAUAAAAAAUAUGUAAUUAUAAUAGGAGAUCCUAAAUAUUCUGAGAAAAAUAUAAAACAUCCGACCCUUGAUUUUCACUUAAAUCGAUAGACCAGUUAUUUUAUACCAUUAGAUGAGAUCUAUUAGGAAAAUAACACUUAACAAACUGGGAAAAAAAAUAUCCCGCGUACGUAUAAUACAUAGUAUUGUUCACUGGGCAAAAAAGCCAAAAAAAAAAUCUUGUGUAAGUGUGUACUCCUACUAUUCGCCGAAUAAAAAUAGUUUUACUAUGUGAAAUGCGCUUAAGAAAAAACCGCAUGGAUUUUAAAGAAGAUGAAUGGAUUAGAUUAGAAGUCACCUAACAUCCUAACACGACUAUAGAAGAUGCCAUAUGUGCCGAUUUGUAUCGUAGGAUGAAAAUCCGGCACCAAUUUAUCGGUAUUAAUACCAGCAACCGACACCUAUGAGGAAAAUAGAACAAACACCUUUAGCUUUGCACGAGAAAAAAAAAAAGAAAGCUGGCUCGAAUCGAGCCGAACUUGCCAACCACACCACCACUGCCAUCAUCCUCCUGGAUCCACCAUUGUCGUCCUCGAGCCCAUUUCCCUGCCGCCAACAUCUCCCGCAUUUGACGGUGAAAAUGAAGAGGCUGAGUGGGAGAGGGAGAUGGGUUGUUGCCAUGCUGUCAUCGUUGUCCUAACGCUGUACCCCCGCCGUCGCUGCACCGCCUCGACGAAACAGCUUCGGCCGUGCCCACGCCGUCGUUGCGCCAUAUCGCCGUUGUCGUUGCGCCGUGCCAAGGAAACGUCUUUCAUGCUAUACCCUCACCGUCGUCACUCCGUACCACGAAAUGUACAGCUGUCACGCCAUGCUAGCGAGACAGGAAGGGGAGGGGGGAGAGGGAUGUCACCGCCGAUGGGGAGGGGAGGGAGAAAGCGGAGGGGCGGAGGGGAUUAUGAUUCUUACCAGCGAGAUAUGUUAAGGUAAAUUGUUGGACAAUGGAAUUGAAUAAAUUGUCACCUUUUUCUUAUAAAAACCUCAAGUAAAUGUUUUGAUUAAAAAGAGGUGUGUGGGACUAUGUUCUGGCGCUUAAUUUACAAGUUACCCAAACAUAACAUUCAGGACAAUGAUAAUAAAUAAUCGUGACUGGCCGGUGUAGAUGUAAUCGGGACAAAGUGAUUUUAGUUUAAUAUGAGUGAAAUUCAGUAUAUCAAAGACUACAAACUAUUCCACAGUAUAGAAUAUUCUUUUUCAAAUUUCUUAAUUAUAAUGUAGUUUAUCGUACAUAUAACGAAUACGAUGAGGUAGGAUUUCUUUAAGCAUUCUCCCGCUUCCUUCCUAGUUAUUAAGAAUUUGUGUUAGAUAAAACAUGCAGCAAUAUAUAGGUGGCAUAUGCUUCCCAAUCAACGUGUACAUGUAGAGUGCACAAUUGUAGAUAUGUCAGGAACAAAUUAUUUGAUAAUAGAAUUCAACCGUAUCCUAUAUUUUUUAAACUCUAACUUAUUGGUAGUUGUUUACACCCAAAUUUUGUACCUAGGGAUAAAAUAGGAAAAAUUGCCAAAGUUUGGAAGUCUGCCGGUUUUCUCUAAUUGGGCCAGUCUGACUGCCAUCUGUUGGCCGGUCAGACCGGCGGUGUGUGGCCGGUCUGACCGGCAGAGUCCGAGUCCGGGUCUGUUUCGCAGGGUCUCGAAGUUUCCUUGCUCGGGAAGGCAUGUUUCGGGUUUCCUUUGGAUUCUAUCCCGAGUUGUACGUGGAGGAGGGCCUAUAGAGGGCAAGACCAACCCCUAUAUAAGGGACAUGGCCGGUUCAAUUGUAACUAACCAAUCUACAAUCAUUCAAUCGAAUUGUUUUUCAUAUUGCUUUUAGUUUUCUCUUAGUUUGUCCAUUUUUGUCUAUUUGCGCUGUAAAUCGUCCGCCGCAGCUGCGAGAGUGCAACACCUCUUCGUAGGUUUGUCUUGAAAACCUUUCGUUUUGCCUACGAGACGGGUAGUUAUCUAGAAAUCGGCUCUGCUAGCCGCUUUAGUUAUCAAAACCCAUCUUGGUCUAGUUUUUGCUAGAUUGAGGUGGUUGGCGACUCUAGAAUCACCGCAAGGCGUUAGGUGCUGCGAUCGUAGUUAUCAACUUGUCACAAAAAGUUGCUAACAGUAGUGAUCGAACAUUCCUUCCCAAUCAUCAUAGCACACUAACCGAUUUAAAGGCGUAUUAUUUUUUAGAGUACCCUUGGAUGAAUAUGAGCCAUCCAUUCAUCUAGAUCAAUGGAUCAUAUUCAUUUAUACUAUACCCUGUAGUAUGGACGGUAGAAUUCGUGUAGGGAUAUAUUUGGAAGAAGAUGCAUAUGGCAGGUAAAUAAUUUUGCAAAUUUCAUUGACCGUCCCGAUUGAAUUUUGGCAACCAUCUCUUAUUUUUUUGGUUCCCUUUGAGCAACAACAACAGUCUACCUUAUCUGAUUCCCAAAACUGAUUUUGAGGAAUUUUAGUAAAAAAAUAGCUCCAACAAAUCCCCUACUCUCCUACCCGAGUUUUGGAGUUCCCUUCUCCUGAUUCCUUGCUCCGUUUAUAUGUGGACGCGUCGCUCCCAAUCUCACACUCCCGCCUCUCUCCUCCGGCUCCCGCGCAUGGGAGAUAGCGAUCUUUCUGUGAAAGAAAAAAAAAACGGAACAUUUCUGUUGGUAGUUUAACAGAAGGGCCCAUUUUUAAGUUUUGGGGAUUGAAUUUAGGAUAUCUGUUGGAGGGAGGAGUUUUUUCACUACCUAUUUUCAGUUUAGAAACCUAAAAACAUUUUUUUGGGGAAGAUUAUAGGUAAUCUAUUGGUAAUGCUCUUGAAAGAUUGUUUCUUCCGUGUAGUUUACUUGCCUACUUUUUAGGAGAGGAAUUAGGAUCAACCGAGUUCUUCGUGCAUGCAUAUAUGAUUGACUAUAUCCAUGAAAUAGUUUCAGCUUUCUUGCUUCUACAUAUAUAUGUCCACAGGAUUUGCAUGCACCUAUAUGUAUGAUCUGAAUUCUGAAUCAAUGGAUCAACACUAUUAGUUCUUCACUAUCCAGGUUUCGUGUAUGUUCGUCCUAAGCAAUGCAGGCUGCAAGAAUGAUAGCAAGCGGUGUUUAGCUGGUGGCACUAGCCGUGAGAGAGAUUGAAUUUGACGGCGAGAACAGCGAGAAUUAGUUCGGUUAAAAUAGCUCCAAUUAAUACUUUAAUCUAAUGUCUAAAAUAGCCUUAAGAAUCAAUGGUCAGAUCUAAACAAACUACACUACUACCUCUAGCAGCAGAAGGUGCUGUAAAAACAUUUAGAUAGCCCAACACGCGCGGACUCAAUCUCACACUACAAUUAUAGCUUUAAUUGUCUAACUAUAUUAUAAUCUAUCAAACAUAUAUUUGACAUUCUAAUUAACAAGCGGUGCUCCAUUAAUUUGUAGGUACGAGAUCGUGCUUGGGACCGGAUCUGCGCUUCUGUACUUACAUGAGGAGUGGGAGCAGUGUGUGGUGCACCGUGAUAUCAAGCCGAGCAACAUUAUGCUCGACACCGCCUUCAAUGCCAAGCUCGGUGACUUCGGGCUAGCUAGGCUUGUCGACCACGACCGGGGCUCCCACACGAACGGUGCUAGCUGGCACGAUGGGGUACAUGGAUCCAGAGUGCAUGAUCACUGGCAGGGCGAAUGCCGAGUCAGAUGUAUACAGCUUCGGUGUCGUCCUCCUCGAGAUCGCUUGUGGUCGGUGACCGAUAAUGGCGCCGCAACGGCAAGCUGAUGAAGAAGAGGACAUGAUCCACAUUGCUCAAUGGGUCUGGGAUUUGUACGGCAAUGGGAGGAUUAUUGACGCCGCCGACCACCGGCUGGGCGGCGAGUUCAACGGCGAGGAGAUGGAGGCUGUCAUGGUUGUCGGGCUCUGGUGCGCGCACCCUGACCGAAGCCUGAGGCCAACGAUUAGGCAGGCUGUCAGUGUGCUGCGAGGCGAGGUGCCGCCGCCGAGCCUCCCGACGAGGAUGCCGGUGGCAACGUUCCUGUCCCCAGUAGAUGCUUUCAACUACACAUCUUCAUAUGUGACAGGGAACACCAACACCAGCACCAGCACAAACACAACUCAGUCAUCCAGGACGACUGGGACAGUUGCUUGAUAAGUUCGAUAAUCCGUAUAUCAUGCGUGGAGAUGUAUGUGUAGUUACUUUUUAUCUUUCAUGUUUUCUAGUUUGGUCUGUUGACCGUGGUAUGCUUAGUGGAGGUUGAUGGCAUCGUGCCUAGCUACCCUUGUUCUUGUUACUUCUAUAUAUUGCAAUCGAAGAGAAAACGAAAAGCUGCCGCUUCAUCGCAGCACCAAACAUCUCGCGCCCACGCUGUUCAUCACACUACUAUACACUACAGGAAUUCUGGGCUUCUAUGACGAUUACAUUACGACGAUAACAGCUUAUUUCCUGUCACUGUCUGCCUGCAGUGACGAAAUGGCUGUCAUCACAGAAGGUGGGUCACUAAUCAGCUUCUGUGACCACCAGAGGACAUCGUCAUUGAUACAGUGACGAUAAUUCUCCUGUCAUUGAUGAAUGACGAGACAAAUUCGUCAUAACAAAUUGAACCGAAUAGCGCCACGUAUAUGAUGACAUGUGAUGUUGCAAAUGACAAGGGCAGGCGAUGUGGCAAAUGACGUGGCAAUUCACAUUCGGGCCAUAUAGCAUGGGCUUUUUUAUUUUCAAUUACAAUCAGCCCAAUUGGCCCAAAUAUUUUUUUUUUUGACCCAGCUACAAAUUUGCUUUUACGUUUUUUUCAUUAUAGCCCAAUAGUACAAUUCUAGCCUAUAUUAUGGGCCAGCCCAAUUAAAAAGCAAUCAUAGAAUAUAAACCACAACCAUUUCUAUAAUUAUAUUACAAUCACAUUCUAGCUAUAAUUAAUUUUCCAGCCCCAUACAAAAGCAAGUUCCAGAAUACAGUUUCCAUACAAAAGCACAAAACAUGAAUACAAAAUGAUUCAUCCACCAUCCAACUACACAAGUCCCAGCCGACUACAAAGUUCCUACAGGUAGUGCCAAGUUCCUGCACCAAAAAAUUCCACCUAGCAGCCACUACUAAGUUUCGGCGUAUAUCUUGCCAGCAGCCAGCAAAAAAAAUUCCACCAAGCAGCAAUGCAACCUUUAGUUUUGCUGCAAUGCAACUCCUUAAAGAGAUCAAUUGCAGUGGGCUCACUGUCUUUGUAUUUUUCUUGCUUCUGCAAUGUUGAGAGAAACAUGAUGGCAUGAGUAAUGGUUAUGUUAAAGUACACAGAUAACACAAAAACAUGUCCUCCAGAACAAGCAUUCUGGUUGACAUUGAUUCUUUUUGUUAAACAUUGACAGUGGUUGCCAUGUAUAAACUUAAUUGAUGUCACCCCAAAUAAGCAUAAGCAUGACAAGAGCAAUCAAACCAAACUGAUAGAAAUUUAUGGAUAAAACAUGAGCAUAUUUUUACAUGGUCAAAGUGUGAGAUAACCUGCUAUUCUCCCUCCAUGUUUUGCUGUAGCAGGGGUUAGAGCUUUGCCACCUCUUGUUGUCCUUGUUUUGCACUGUAGAGGUAUGCCACUACAGAAUGGCAUAUUGCUAUACCUAUACAAUGCAAAACAAGGGCAGCAAAAGCUGAAUAGAGGGCCAACCCACGCUGCUGCAGAAAAACAUGUAGGGAGGGCUGCAGAUAAUCUCACAUGAAGAGGGAGCCUACUAAAGCUUUAAAUCAUAUAGCAUUAUGUAGAGCCACUAUCAAUAUGAAGAUAUAUAUCUCCACUGGAUCUAAACACCUCCAUCAGGAAACACAAAAACUACAUCCAACUAGAUGACAUCAUCAUUUUUUCCUUACCACGACAUAGGCAUGUGCAAUGUAAGACCGAGAUCCGGUACGCUGCUGAAACUGAACUUUUUCACGGUUCAGUUGGUUUUUGGCACAUUUGUCCUGCAUAUGACAGAAUUAUAACCAGGAGAAAUACUUACUAUGGCAAGUAAUCGAGCUGAAAGUCACCGUAGAGCUCCAGUCUUCCCGUCUCUAGUGCUCCUUGAUUCCUUACUCUGCAUACAUCACAGUGUGCAAGUCUUCAGUUCAGAAGAGUCUACAAUGCAUAUUCAAUCCUACACACAUGAUCCUAUGUAUCCUUAAUUUAACAAACAUUGAUAUCGAGUCUUAAUGCUCCCGAAGAUAUGCAUCAGUUUACUAUCCUCACCUCAACGAGCACAUCAAGAUGAGCCUCUGGUACCAACCUCGGUUGCAUAUCCUGCAAGCAACCAAAAAAAAAUUAUCAUUAGAAAGUAGAAACACCUCAAAUCACACUGGUGCGGAAGCUAAAUCCAACCUGGCUGGGGCUAUUGUGCUGCUCCUCGACCAAGAACGGCUCGACGAGCGACGCGGAGGUAAGCGCAACUCCCCCUGAGUGGCCGUGAGCCAAGCAGAUGCGAUCGAGAAGCGGCGGCGACUCCGCCAGUGAUCCCGGCGGCAGGAGUACGUAGCGCCGACGCGGAAAGCGUGGUUGACCCCGACCUGGAGGAGAAACCAACCAAGCACACGAUUCGUCAAUCCGAUUCAAAUUCUCGCAAGCAAAGCCAAGGAAUUCGGAGGAGGGGAGGGCAGGCGGCGACGCACUGGUGGAGAUGGAAGGCGUGCCGCCGUAUCUUGAUGGCCUUGGGGUCCUGGAGGAAGAGCAAAGAGCAGAGUGGCGUUUAGUGAGAGAACUCGGGGAAUAGCUUACGUGGCCCACUUUGUCAUCCUCCAUCCAGUGCUUCCCCUUGCCCUCCCCUUCCACCUCCGCGCCCUCCAUCGCCUUCCUCCUGGCGGCGGCGGCGCUGGCCUUCCAUCGCCACCUGAUCUGCUAGCCGCUCGGCUGUUGGCGCCGGCGGUGGAACAUGUAACGCACCGCCCAGCUGGCCCGCCGUAUGGAGGCCGCCGACACCGCCAUCGCGCGGUGGCUGUCCCGCCACGACCCUACCACGUGCUCGACGGCGUGCGCCGCCUCCGCGACGAGGCCGAUGCGCGCAUUGGCCGCCUCGAGCGCCGCGUCGAGGAGGUCGCCGCCGUGCAGCAGGCGUCGGCCGCCCAUCCGCUCCCCGCCAUGUCCCUCCCCUUCACGCUCCCGCCUCCGCCGCCGCCGCCGCCGCCCAAGGCCAUGGCGAUGAUGGCCAUGGACACGCCACCCAAGGCCAUGGCGAUGGGGAUCGAAGCGCGACCGAGGAGGAGGAGGACGACGGCGUGGUGGGCGGCGGCGUGAGGGUGGGGAAAGAGAAGGUGAAGGAGAUGGUGAUGAGCAGCGGCGCCCGCAGCGGCGGGUGGGAGGAGGAGGAAGGGGACGGUGGUGACGGCGGAGUGGAUGCUGGUGGCGGCGACACAGUGGAUGGAGUGGAUGGAGUUUGGGCUAGGGUUUGGAGAACAGGGUAUAUGGAUAAGAAGCACUCCUAUGCGAAUUUACCAAACUGUCCCUACUAUGUUCACAAUAGUUACGAAAUUGUAUGGAAAAAAUGGACAUUUCACCUUAAAUUUUUUUUCAUGACUGCCGAGUUUGGCGCUAAAACUUUGGUUCGCACCGAAAAUUCGGGGCGCCUCUGCAGCCCUUUCUUUGUUUUUGGCAAAAAAAAAAUACAAAUAAUAUGUUGUACUUUUUAAUUUCAAUUUAUGAUAACUUUAAAUUUAAUUUUAGGCUAUGUUUUGUGUAUCAAAUGUAAAAAUCAUAAACAACAAAAUUGUAGAGCUCAUCGAGAUCUACAACUAUUGUAUUGGUCCAUUUUACGAAUAAGUUCAUUUGAACAUUUCAAAAUUUGAAUUUUCAAAAUUUAACAACUUCGAACAAAAUUUGGGAUUAAUAAAUGAUUUCAAAUGGAAAAGUCACCAAAAUCAAAGUUGUAGAACUCAUCGAGAUGCAAAAAUUUUAUUUUGGUCAUUUCUCUAUCUGACUCUAUUUAAAUAAUUUGAAAUUUGAAAUUCAAAGUUUGAGAACUUCAAAUAGAAUUUUUUAUUAGUGAACGACUUCAACUGAAAAAGUCAUCAACAAGAAAGUUGUACAAUUCAUCUAGAUCUACAAUUUUCAUUUUGGUCAUUUGUUCAUUCGACAAAGUGAUUUUAACAUUGUUCAUAAAUUUUACAUAUCUCCAUAUGGUUUAUAAACUAUAAGAGAGAUAUGUAAAUUUUGUGAACAAUGUUACUAUCACUUUGUCAGAUGAAUAAACGACCAAAAUAAAAGUUAUAGAUAUUGAUGAGUUAUACAACUUUGUUUUUGUUGAUUUUUUCAGUUCAAAUCAUUUAGUAUUUGAAAAUGUUGUUUGAAGUUGUCAUAAUUUGAAAUUCAAAUUCAAAUUAUUGAAACAAAGUCAUAUAGAAAAAUGACCAAAGUAAAAAUUAUAGAUAUUGAUAAGUUAUACAACUUUGUUGUUGAUGACUUUUUCAUUUCAAAUCAUUUAGUAUUUGAAAAUAUUGUUUGAAGUUGUCAUAAUUUAAAAUUCAAAUUCAAAUUAUUGAAACAAAGUCAUAUUGAAAAAUGACCAAAAUAAAAGUUGUAGAUCUUGUUAAGAUAUACAACUUUGUUGUUAACAAUUGUUUUAUUUGAAAUUAUUUACUACCCGGAAAGUUAUUUGAUUUGAGAGGAGGGAGGUAAAUGGACUUGUCAGCGAGGGAUGAGUAAAAGGGUGGGCCGGCGGCCCGAAGAGAGAGGAGGAGGGAGAGAGAGGCCGCGGGCUGAGGGAGGGAGAGAGUAAUACUUGGGCCGAAAAAGGCCCAAGGACAGAGAGAGGAAUUUUAAUUUAUUUUUCAUUUAUUUUAAUAGGUUAAAUGAAUUUUGUGGUAUUAAAAUUAGUUAUUGAGCUCCGAAAAUUCACGGAAAAUUUCAAAGAAUAAUUUAGACCAACUUAUAGCCAUUUUAGUUUGUUUUUUUAAGUUUUUUCAUUCAAUCAUAAAAUAAAACGCCACAAUUUUGAUUUUUUUAUUCAUAAAAUGAGACUAGAGAUGACUUCAAUCCUAAAAUCCUAAAAUCCUAAAAUGAGAGACUAUAAUUGAUGUAGACAACAAGAGUCCACCUAGGACAAAUGAUUUAUGGUCUAGUGGCAAUGUAGUAUAACAAGAUUUUUUUUGUUUUUUUUAAAAAAUAUAAUAGUUAUGUGUUUUAUGACGAUCCAUUAUUGUCAUCGUGCUAUCGUCACAGAGCCCAUGCAGAGUAUACUAUGACGAUGGUUAUGACAGAUACACGGUUUGGUCAUAAACAGUUGUCAUCCUCUGAACAGUCGUCAUAAACAGCCUCUAUUUAUGACAGAUAUGUGUUCUGUCAUCAGGUAAUCGUCAUAGAAGUCCAGAUUUGUUGCAGUGAUAGAAAUAGCCACAAGUACCGGUUGGCGGUUGUCGGAUUUUGUGCCGGCACAAAAUUAGUGGCAUUGAUGAAGGGAUUCAAGCCGGUUGCUUAAUUUUGAGCUCCCCCCAAUGAGAUAGUCAAGAACAUCCAUAGCUUAAUUAGCACAUUAGAAUCAACGUCCAUACAGUGUAUGGCCUUCGAGCUCCGGCUGCGUGCAGCCUCUUGGCGUCGUCGGCCUCAUAUUCACGCGCCGUGUCGCGCCCUCAUCCUCAGCAUCGAGCAGCAAGCCAGCAACUCAGCAGGAGAGAUGAGUGAGCUGUCCAAUGUCCAAGGCCACCAUAGAUAGGGAUGAGAAAGUGGAAAGAAGACAAGGACAAGAUAGUCAUUUACCUCCCGAUUUGAUGGGUUGACAGUUAAAAGUGGUAAAAUAGAAAUAUUCCAAUGGACCCGUGUAGCAAAUAAUCAAAGUCUUCGAUGAAGAUGGCAUUUGGAAUUAUUAACAGUGAAAUUUGGUAAGCCCCUAAGAGAAUUAUCACAUCGCCUAUAGUAGGAUUUCUGCUAUAUUUGGUUAAAAAAAUUAAUCUAUUAAAUGAAACUUAUCCAGAAGUGACCGAGUUCAAGGAGAAUGCGGCAUGGCAAGUUAUCUAUUAAUUAGGACGGUGGGGCUUGGCACUUGACUCGGGGCUGCAUUGGUUUUCGAUCUCCGAUGAAUGGGUAAGUCCAAUGUUUCACCGGCUCAGGCAAUUGUAUCGUCCACGCCGGCGCUAUUCAAGGCUAUAUCAGUACAUUCGACCUCUUGGAUUGCUCUAGUUUGGUUGAUAUAUUUGCCUGGCUAUUUAUCAUAUGUUUAGUUAAUCUAGUCUUAGUAUCUCAAUUUAGCUCUAUCGGUUGUCUCUCGCUUUAGGGUUUCUACCGGUAUCGGCUAAAUUGUUUUACUAAGAUUAGAUUAGCUAAGGCAUCUACCACCCUAAAAAUCAGUCAACAGCUUGAUUGUCUAGAUAUUGUGUUUCUUUUCAUACUUAGUGCUGCAUUAGUUAAGUUUGAUUUACUAAGCCGUGUUUAGAACCAUAAUCCCUAGCUUGCUUUUUGACUGCCAAUAAGGGUUUCAUCGGGGUUUCAGGUGAUGAGAUAUCUCGACGUUGCAUCGGCUUACAAGGAUUGCAUGUAAGUUGGAUUUAGUCGAUGAUAACAAAGAUUUCACCAUUUAAUCUAAUUUGUGGAUUUUAUGACAUCGGAUCUCCAGCCGAUGUAUGCUUUAACAUUCGGACACUUGUUCUAUCAUAUCAUUGUUAGCCGAUUGGUUUCUAAUGGAUUAUAUUGUUGCUUUCCUACAUUAUCAUCAGCCGAUUGCCUUUAUAUUGUUAUUUACAUCAAGCGUCAGAAUCUACAUCGGAAUUAUAGCCGAUAGCUCAAAACCCUAUCGGUAUCGGCUGGUAUUGACAUCGGCUAGAAUUAAUCUAUCGGCUUAUCAGCCGAUCGGCUCAUUGAUAUGCUAUUUGUAUACCUUGUCAGUUGCAGAGUCAAACUGACUGGCACGCCUGCAUCUCAUCAACUUUUGGUCCUGCACUUGAGCUAAGCAGAUCUCCCAGGCCAGUAUGUGUUUUUCGCGUCAAUAGGAAUAGACCACGGGAGAAGAUUGCAAAUAGUCCAACAAAGAAGAAUAAGUAUAUGUUAAAAAAUAGGGGCAAUAUUUGGGUGGUUCUCUAUGUAAAAAAAAAAUAGGGCCGAUAUUUGGGUGCUUCUGCUUCUCUGGAUAACAUUGGUACCAAGCAGGUUAAAACCGUCUUCUAAUGUGUGUGGUGGUAAAGUUAUCUAUUUUGAUUAUAUGAAUGGUGUUUCCUGGAAUAGACACAUUUUUUUAGAUAAACAUAUAACAAAUUUGGUAUGCAUUACCAGUUCCGGGCACGUCUGUGCAUUGAGGGCAUUCCAACGCAUGCGCGCACUGAGGUCACUGCAGUCAAGCUGAUUGGGCCCAGGUGCGCCAUCAACUUCAUCGAAGAGUACUCACGUCGCCACAACUAUAACCGCACCUUCGACCUUCGGAUCUAGACAAACGACCCCGGCGCCAUCCCCAAAAUGGCAUGGCUGGGGUUGGCAAAUCCGGAUGAUGAGCUGGUCCCUGUCGACAUCCCCAUGCCCGACAUCGACCCCAUGCACAACCCCCCACCGUCGGGGCCCAAGGAUGGAUGUUUGUCCCCGGUGAUUAUUCACCUGGACACCUUGGAGGACCUCCAGCCUCAUCCAAUGUUGUACAAGCAAUACGAGUGGUCCUACGGGGUCUAUGAUGAUUGUAUCUCGUUCCCGUUCGGGCUCUCGGCCUAUUCCGUGCAGGCUAGAGCCGAGUGCGGUGCGGGGACCAAAUGAAGACCCAGAUGGGGAUGGUGGUCGGCCUCAUCCGCGCUACCAGAGCCGCUCCAGGUCACUGUGGGGCCGCAUCACGGGGAGAUCCCACAGCAGUGAGCGUGGGGGAGAUGGUCAAGGAUUCUACAAUGAAGACACGAGGGGAUGCCAGCGCAACAGAGACACAUACAUCACCAUAAACCACAUCCGCCGUUCUAGGGACGACACUGAGGUUAGGGCCCCAAUUUCACUUUCAGCCGCGCAGAAGCAAAAGCCCAAGAGGGGGGGGGGAUCCCUCGCUAUUGAUCUGUCUUCUUCUCCAGCUGAGUUGUUUUCCUUCCAUCACGGGGACCAGGGAAACCAGGAACAGCAAGAGGACCCCAUAAGGGCACUCACAGUGCGUCGUCGCAAAAUGCCGUUCCUGAGGUACCAGCUAGGCAAGGAACACAGAAGACACUUGAUUCACAGUGCAUGUGGCUUAUUUUAUUUUCGCAAGCACAUGAUAGUGGGUCCCACCCGUCCUCUCUCUCUUCCCUUUUCAUCUCUCUUCUCUCUCCAUUCUCCCCAUCCGUAUCGCCCAUCUCCCCCAUCCGGCGCCCCUCUCACCAAAAGCGAGCGGCGAGCGGCGUCCGGCCUCCGCGCCGUGGCCCGAGCAGCGACGGCGUUGGGCGGGUGCGCGGCGGCGGGCGACAGCGUCGGGCAGCUGCGCGGUGGCGGGCGUCGAUGACUGCGGCAGCGGCGGGCGGACGACUUGGCCCGAGCGGCAAGCAGCGUCCGGCUUCCACCUUCCUCCUUCGGCCUCCGCGCCUCCCCCUUCCUCUUCUGGCCUCCGCGGCGAUGGCGUCGGGCGGCUGCGCCGCGGCGGCGUCGAUGGGCGGCGGCGGCCAUGGGUGGGAGGAGAGAGAGAGAUGGCGACGCGAGCGGCGGCCAGAAGGGGAGGCCACCGAAGCCGGGCGGAGCAGCGGGGAAGGCGCCGAGCGGAGCGGCAGCGGGGCGGCCAGAUCCAGCUUGGGCUCACCGGAUCUGGCGUGGACGGCGACGGCGUGCUCGUCGGCUGCGCACGGCGAUGGCGGGCUCAUCGGCUUCUCCCCUCCGUCCCCCCCUUCUCUUCGUCCGUAUCCAUGGUUGUUGCGUCGCCGGCGCAGCCAACUAUCCGACGAGCUCGCUGUGAUGUCUUCCCUUGUUCUCUCUCCGUUUCUUGAUGACGCGGGAAUCGAUGUUGUGGGCCAGACCUGCAAUUGUGAGAAAGAACUCGGAGCUUACUUUGGCUCCCCGUUCCUGGUGAGGGAGUGAAAAGUGCCUAGGUGGAGAGGAAUCUCCGAGCUGGCAUGUGGAGGCUGAACGCUACGUCUUUGCAUUGUAAAUGGCCUAAGGGUUGAAGCGGCUAUCAGCUUCUCGCCAGAGGGCGAACAUGGCGUGCAGGGCUCCCCUGUGUAUGUCCCUCUGUCAGGAGGGACUGUUGUAACGCAGGCCGAAGACGUUAACAACAACAGUGCUGCUGACCUGAUUGCUUCCCUCACAACUCCGGUGAGACCACCCCUCAUGUCGCCCCCAAUUCGCAUUCGUACUAAAAAAACCAAAAGUUGUGCUUAGCGCUACUCAACGACACAGUGAGAGACUAUAAAAGAAAAGAAGGAAUGGUUGCAAAAUUGAGCUUAUAGCACAAGAGAUUAUUUCCAAAAAAAUUGGUAUUAUGAGUGAAGGUGAUUCUUUUGAUGAGAAUGUCAAAAAAAAACUCACUCCACGCUCCCUCAAGAUGAUCGCUGAUUUGGUGGAGAAAGGCGGCUGCAAGAAGCUGAAGCUCAAAGCUGCCAAAGCAAAGGCAGCUGUGACCCCGGCUUAAAGGACAUCAAGUUGGAGUCCUGGAGGGCGCCUACAUAAAUAAAAUGGGUGCCGGUUCCCUGCAGAAGUUAUCGAGAUGCUAAGCUAAAGCGGGCUGGAUGCCUUGCUGUAUUGUCUGUGAACUCUGUGGCUUUAGACCUCCACCAAACUAGGCACAACUCACUGAAGAACUCUCAGGAGGUUAUGUUUAUGAAUGAUGCUCUAUCUUUUGCUGCAGCAAAACAACGGUCUAUGUGGCCUCUUCCUUUCUUUCUUGGUUCUACUUAUCUGCAGUGUUUAAACUUAGCUUUAUGUUUCAAUAACAUUGCAAGAUUGUAAGCUGGAAUGUUAGAGGUCUGAAUGCACCAGCAAAAAGGGAGGCGGUCAGAAAUCUCCUUCAACAGCAGAAUGCAACUCUGGUUUGCCUGCAAGAGACAAAGCUGCAAGAUGUAGAUAAGGCCUGCAUAAUUGAAACAAAUGGAGUAAAUUUUCAGAACAAUUUCUUUUUCCUGCCUGCAGAGGGAUCUAGGGGUGGUAUAAUCCUGGCAGCUGAUGAGAACUAUUUUACCUUGUCACAUUGUGAUCUCCGUAUGUUUUCCCUAACAGCCAAGGUGACUAUGAGAGAAACAAAUGCCUACUGGACAAUAACAGGGGCUUAUGGUCCAUAGGAAGAUGCUGCCAAACUUCUCUUCCUUCAAGAAUUACAGGAUGUGGCUCCAACAAGCCUACCUUCAUGGUUAAUCUUGGGAGAUUUUAAUCUAAUUUACAAGGCGGAGGAUAAAAAUAACAGCAGAUUAGAUAGAAGAAUGAUGCAACAGUUUAGGCGACAAUAGACAAGCUACAAUAAUUUUAUUCCAUACCUUACCCCUCUCUUAAUCAAUAAUCCACAUUGAUUCACCUUUCAAUACCUCUACGUACCUCGCAAAAACCAUAAAACUUCUCUAGUUCCUUUGUCUGGAACUUUGGAUGGUGGUGUGGGGGUUUUUGAUGGAUUGGGACAGGGAGAUUGAACUCUCUUGUUUCUGAUACCACCAUCCAAUCUCCCUGUAUAGACAAUACUUGCAUGAAUGGCUGGGGUGGCGGUGGUAUCAGAGUCACCCUCACCUUCACCCUCUAAGUGUAUACUUUAGAUUUUAAGUAAUGAUGGAUGGCUUAGGGAGUUCCUUCUCUAAGUAGCAAGUACAAACAAUUAGAUCUAAGCCAUCCAUCAUUACUUAAAAUCUGAUUCCUCCCAAAACUUCCUAUUACUCUAUUUUUUUAGCUAAACAAGGGACUAGGAUUAAAAACCAAACUCCCAUGACCAAUCCAUCACCAAAUCUCCCUCUAAACUUCCCGUCCCCUUCCAUUAAAUUGCUAAACACGCCGUUACGGAAAGAUGAGCUUACCCUACGUUCUAGCAUAUUGAACUGAGGCCUUGUUUAGUUGGGGAAAAUUUUUGGGUUUGGUUGUCACAUCGAAUAUAUGGACACACAUUUAAAAUAUUAAACGUAGUCUAAUAACAAAACAAAUUACAUAUUCCGUCAGGAAACUGUGAGACAAAUUUAUUAAGCCUAAUCAAUCCGUCAUUAGCAAAUAUUUACUGUAGCACCACAUUAUCAAAUAAUAGCGCAAUUAGUCUUAAAAGAUUCGUCUUGCAAUUUACACGUAAUCUGUGUAAUUGUUUUUUUGCUUAUAUCUAAUACUUCAUACAUAUGUCCAAACAUUCAAUGUGACAUCGUGAAAAUUUUGCUUUGGGAACUGAAGAGGGCAUGAACCAAAACCUUUUUGAAGUGAGCUUGGUUGAACACUUGAACCAAUAUCCCCCCAAGUUGUCUGGACACUGCUACACAACUAUUUUUUACAGGCGGGUGAUAAACCACUUACACAUGUAUUUAUUGAAUUGCCUAUGACUUAGGGCCUAUAGAAAUCAACGAUAUAUUACAUGUUUUGUUCACAAUCAUAUAUAUGAGUAUGCUAUUUCUUGUGAAUUUAAACUUAUCCGUUUUUAGAAUGAAAUAUUAUAUAUUGAUCUAAAAUGUUUAUAUAGUGUUCUCAAAAUUUCUAAUAAUUAUUUCAGUAAAAAACAAUAACUAUUUGCAUAACUAAGAACUCUAAGGGAGAAACACCCAUCUUGUCUUGUCGCUUGCUCUUGAGGAAAAAUAAAUAAAUAAAGCAAGCCUUUCCUACAGUCAUAACGAAGCUGACAAGAUCAAUCUGAUUAGGGUAUGGUUACGAAACUGCACCAAUAAGAUCAAUUAACAGAUUACAGCCUUAGACUUUAUUUAGGCCGUGUUUAGUUCACCCUCAACUACCCCAAACUUCCAACUUUCCAUCAUAUCACAUCACAUCCAAAACUUUCCUACACACGUAAACUUCUAACUUUUUUUUCUAAGCUUCCAACUUUUUCCGAACUUUCAACUUUUUUUCGGAACUAAACACAGCCGCUGAAAAAGUCGAUGUACGGCAGGACGUACAUUCUUCACAGAGAAUCGAUUGACACGGUCUAGACAUAAUCUCAGCACAAAUUUAAGCAACGUCAGCCAUAACAGGCCUGUUUGGUUAAUUCAUUGCCGUAUUCAACCAUAUACCAAAAAUAGUAAUGCAAAUGGAAGUAAACAUAUGUUUCGUUUGUUGCAAUUUGCAAAAGAAUUGGCAUUGCCAAAAACGUCGGCAAGAAAACCAAAGCACAUACACUUGAUUGCUUCAAAAAAAAAAUCACAUACUCUUGCCUUUUGACUAGAUUAAUUUGCCAAAAUUUUGACAGUAGCCAAAUCUCGUCUUUAACCAAAAGUUUACAUUGGUGUCGAUCCGAACAAGCUCUCGAUGUUCUGACUAAAUAGCUCUUCUUAAACAAAUGGACCUGGAUGUACGAAGGAGUAGCAUGCUGACUUUGAAGUUUGAAGUCUGAACCGGCAAAUCGCACAAAGAGAUGAUCGAUUGGCCAAGGAAAGAAGCUCCUUUUAAAGUACUUGUGUCAUUUAUAUAUGAGCCCACGAUAUGGGUCCCCAUACCAGCCCCUUAAAAUCAGAGGACAAUAAGUUGUAGAAUCUGUUUUCACUGGCCAAGACAUGAUCAUCUGCGCUAAAAAUGCGCAUCAGAAACAUUUCGGCUGCAGAAUUAUCAAAGCAAAUGCAGAGUAAGGACAAUAUAAUGAGCAUUUACCCUUCACACCCAACUUUAUGCUACUACUUAAAAAGGGAUUUGGUGCUAGCUGGCCAGGAAACCCAUAUGGGUACGUACCGGACUUUUCCCGGCCAGCAUCCCUUAAGCGGCACCAAUGAGGAGGACUGAGGUUUCAGGAAUGAAAAAAAAUCCAGCUCGUUGCAUCGGAUCGAAUCCAAGAAAAUAUUCAUCAACAUCCAUCUAACGAUAGGCACCUUUUAUAAAACCAGUACUGAUGACUCAAUUAUAACAAUCAUUUUAUAAAAAACUAGUACCGAUGACUUAGAUAUAAGUGUCGAUUUUUAAUAGGAACCGACACCUAUGUUUGGCAAGACUCAUAGGUACCGGUUCCUUUUAAACCAACACUUAUGUCAUUACAUAGGUGUCGGUUCUUGAAAAUGGUUCCCCACAGGCGCGCGCUUGAACGAAAAAAAUACUGUAGGUGUCAGUUAUUACAUUUCCGGCAUCUAUGGUACUAGUCCUUUUAUCGUUUCUCUAAUAGUGUAUUAUAAGAGAGUUGAAUGAAAGCUGUGUAAGAAAACCCAUAACAAUUUUGAACAAACAGUUGAUUUCAUUAACUGACAGUGACAGGAGCAUGUACAUCGUUUAGAUUACUUUUUACAUCAUUAUCAAAAAGAAGAUUACCUUUUACAUUGUCUAACUCAAAGUCAAUUAGUCAAUUAAUUAUAUCUAUCUUCGUAAGGCUGACAGAGAAUAGGCCAAAAAAUAACGGCAUGCAUAGUUUUUUAUUGUUCAAUCCACAAUCGGGCUGAACGCGUAGACUAAAAUUGACAGUUUUUUUUUCCAUAAAUUUUGUGCUGAUAUGAUUGGACUUUUUUUUUACCUGUAUGGAUUUGACCAAUUUAGCUACAUUUUUUAAAGCUAGAAUAUUUCUUUUAAGGGUCCAUGCCAUUGAAAAUGUGGCUAUUCAGAAAAAUGCUAUUACAAUUCGUCUAUUCGUAACCAUGUCACUCCAAUUUUACAAAAUUAAAACCAUGCCACUGCCGUCACCUUUUCCAUCCAUCCUCUUCCUUUCCGUCUUCUUCCUUCCUUCUCCAUCUUCUUCGCGGCCAUCGCAUGUCAUCGGCGUUGAUGCAGGCGUCCAGCACCUCCCAUUCCAUCCCGGGAGGCACGGGGAGCGCCACCCACGCCACGGCUGCACCUGACGACGACGACGACUCCCACGCCGCCGAGAGAGGCUCGAUGUCGACGAACUACGGGAAGCGGAGCGCACGGGGAGGUCCCUGGAGGAGGCGGAGGAGGGGGAGGUGAGGGGAGGGAAGAAGGAGGCGGUGGUCGCCAUGAAUCAUGGACUUGACAUGAGAAAAUACCAUAUGCAACAUUUGCAAACGAUAUUACUUGUCGAAACAUUCGAAUAAUACCAGGUGCAAUACUAAAGAAAUAUCCAUUACAACAAGAAAACUAAGACCUUGUUUAGUUGGGGAAGAUUUUUUGUUUUGGUCGUCAUAUCGGAUAUACGGACACACAUUUAAAGUAUUAAACGUAGUCUAAUAACAAAACAAAUUGCAGAUUCCGCCAGGAAACUGCGUGACAAUUAGCAAAUGUUUACUGUAGCACCACAUUGUCAAAUCAUGACGCAAUUAGUCUUAAAAAUUCGACUCGCAAUUUACACACAAUAUAUGUAAUUGGUUUUUUCCUAUAUUUAAUACUCCAUGUAUAUGUCCAAACAUUCGAUGUGACAUUGUUAAAUUUUUUGUUUUGAAAACUAAACAGGGCCUAAAAAUGUGCAACAAAGUUGAGUUGAAACUACUUUCCCUUUCUCACAUAUGAAACACAAUUCUUUUAAUUAUUGAAACAUAUAUUUUUUUUAACAUUGCAAUAUAAAGAAAAAAGGUUGGACUAAAGUGCAAUUAACUCUUAUUUUUGUUUGCAUUGGGCACCUGCUACAAAAUAUUCUCCUAAUUUGUUCGGGAAUUCCGUACCAAAACAGCAUACCAGCCGCAACAAUGGUCAUGGAAGAAACCGUCGUCGGUACAAAACGGAAGGGGAUGCGGUUGGGAUUUUCAAUACCGGUUUCAUCCCGUGCAUAUACAUAGUCCGUACACUCAGUUACCGAUCGAGUUGGAAUCGUGCGUGACCGGCCGAACUGCAUAUCUAACGCAUACGCACGCAAAUCGCAAUCAAAUCACAGUCACCCAUCGUCGAGCUAGCUGUGCGCUUCGCAUGAUAGACCUAUCGUCCUCGAUGGUCACGUCGCCGGCAACGGCGAGCUGGUCGGACAUGGUGUUCGACCUCCUCGCCACCGUCUUCCACACCUUCAGCGACCCCGCCGACCUCCUUCGCUGCGCCGCCGUCUGCUGCUCCUGGCACGCCGCCGCCGCCUCCGUCCGCGACCGCCACCCGCUCUUCUCCCGCCGCCCGCCGCCGCCGUGCCUAGUCUACACGGCUGCUGCCUCGGGCGACGGCGACGACAACACCCGCGCCGCCACCAUCUUUCCCCUCGCCGGCGGCGGGAGGACGUUCGAGGUCACGCUGCCGGCUGAGCCCCCCAUCCGCGACAGGUCAUGGUUGGGCAGCUCCCAUGGAUGGAUCGUCACCGCCGACGCCGACUCCGCCGAGCUCCGCCUCGUCAACCCCGUCACCGGCCAGCAGAUCGACUCGCUCCCGCCGGUCGACACCAUCGAGCACGUCAGGCACCGCAGCCAGAGCGCCGCCGCCGCCGACGACGACGACGAAGAUGACUACGACUACGAGAUCGUCCAGUACGACUGGACCAUGGAGCAGCGCGACGACCGGCCACCGACCCAGGCGAAGGCCGGUGAGCUCGCCGAGUACCUCCUCAUGCGCGCGUUCCUGUCGUCUGAUCCAUCGUCGGACAGCGGCGGCGGCGGCUGCAUCGUUGUCCUGCUCCACCGGCCAAAGUACCAGCUCUCGUUCGCGCGGGUGGGCGUCGACGAGCGCUGGGCUUGGGUCAACCUGCCCGACUCGGACUUCUACACCGACGUCGUCUACAACGACGGCGACGGCAUGUUCUACGCUGUCAGGCACCAGGCCGCCAUCCACGCCUACGACUUGUCCGGCGGGCCCUCCGCCGUGCGCCGGACGAUCGUCCUAGCCGACCAGUUGCACGGCGUCAUCGACCUCGAGACCAAGUACCUCGUCCGCGCCCCCGACGGCGGCGAGUGGCUGCAGGUGUGGAGGAUGCUGAAGCCCGUGCGCCGCGCUGCCGACACCCACGGCGACACGACGCCGACGACGGCGGUGUAUAGGAAGACGACGAUCUGGAUCAAGGUGUUCCGCGUGGACCUCGCCGCGCAGAGGCUGCAGGAGACGGCGACGCUGGGCGACGGCGGCGACAGCCACGCGCUGUUCAUCGGGUGCAACCAGCCGUUCUGGGUGCCGGCCGGCGGCGGCGACGGCGAGUGCCCGGCGGGCGGCGUGCUGCCCAACCACAUCUACUACACGGACAACGAUGAGGACUACGCGCUGCUCUACCCGGAGGCGCCCAGGGACAUCGGCGUCUACAGCGUCGCCGACGGCAGCUUCUCGCCGUUCCGGCCAUCUCUACCAUGGCUGACUUGGCCAUUGCCGAUCUGGCUUGUUCCCAAUUUCGGUUACUACUGUCAAGGUUAAGUUAGGAAGAACUAAAUUAACACAGAGCAGCUAAGUUUGAUUCAUUGAUUGGUUGUUUUUUGUUGCUUUCAUUAUUUAAAUCUACGUUUUAUUGUCUCUGAUUUUUUUUUAAUCAUCGUUCAAUCCAAAUGUCGGGCUGUGCAUAGAGUGUGACUUUUCUUUUUUCCUUCUAAAUUAAAUUUUGUGCUGAUAAGACUAGACUUCUUUUUUUCUCUACCUGUAUGGAUUUGACCAAUUUAACUAUAUUUUUUUUAAAGCUAGAAUAUUUUGUAAAUGCUCCGAACUUCUCUAGUCAUCACUAGUUCACCACCUCUUCAAGCGAAAAAAAAAAUGGAACUCGUUUCUUCAGUUAACUUCAUCUGAUCGUAUAGUAAUACAUACACAGGGAGGGGCUUUGUUUUGUGCUUUUGUAAUAUGUCUCAUUAGUUCUGAUUAUCCUCAUUUGAGGAACAUUUGUUGUUAACCUUUUUAAAUUUCUCUUUCCACUCUCAAUAUAAUCUCAAGCGCCAUCCUGCACUCGCCUCCAAAUAAAAGCUCGGGUCCUGAUGGAUACACAAAUGAGUUCUACAAAUGCUUCAUCUCUACUCUUAAGCCUGACCUGAUCGCACUGUUCAAUUCCUUCCAUGCCAAUGCAGCCGAUCUUUCAGGGGUUAACAUCUCUUACAUCACUUUAAUUCCGAAAAAAGUAACCCCUCUCAGCAUAACAGAUUUCAGGCCAAUAUCCUUGCUACACAGUCUGCCAAAGCUUAUCAGCAAAGUGCUAGCAAACCGGGUUCAAGGGGAAAUUCAUGAGUUAAUUGAUCCAAUGCAAUCUGCAUUCAUCAAAGGAAGAUCAAUCACGGAGAAUUUUAUACUAGCUUCUGACAUUGUUCAAUGUGCAAUCAAAAGGAAAAAACCAACGAUUAUUCUAAAGCUUGACUUCCAAAAAAGCUUUUGACACAGUUAACUGGGAUUGCUUAUACUUGGUCCUACACCGCAGAGGAUUCGACGACACAUGGAUCAAUUGGAUCAAACAGAUUUUGGAAACUAGACAAGCACACAUAUUGAUCAAUGGAUCAACAGGCGAGUCAUUUAAGUACAGGAGAGGGGUCCGUCAGGGUGACCCUCUCUCCCCAUAUCUCUUCAUCCUAGUCGCUGACGUCCUACAGCAAAUGAUACAGCAAGCCUUCCACUCCGAGUAGUUACUCCACCCACUGGAUUCUCACUCUCCUCCUCCCACGCUGCAAUACGCUGAUGAUACCCUACUUAUUUUAAAAGGAUCGCUUGAGCAGGCUGAAAUAAUUAACGGCAUUCUUGAGGAAUUUGCUGCAUUCUCAGGGCUACAGAUCAAUUUCAGCAAGAGUACCUUUGUACCCAUACACAUGAAUGAACCCGAGGCAAGGGCCAUCGCUGAGCUUUUGCAAUGCCCCAUCAGCCCGCUUCCUUGUAACUAUCUAGGUCUUCCACUCUCUACGUCCAAAAUCUCACACAAGUUGCUUGCACCAGUCAUUGACAAAAUAGAUCGAAGGCUAGCAGGAUGGAUCCCAGGCCUUCUCAGUUGGGGUGAAAGACUCAUCAUGAUCAACUCAGUCAUGUCGGCAAUACCAAACUAUUUCAUGUCCAGAAUCAAGUGGCCAGACAAAACCAUCGAAGCAGUUGAUCGCCUAAGGAGGGCAUUCCUUUGGAAAGGGGAUAAGAAAGUAAAAGGAGGUCAAUGUUUAGUGGCCUGGCCAACUAUCACUCUCAACAAGGAACAAGGAGGAUUGGGAAUCCGUGACUUGAGAGCUCACAACAUGGCUCUACUUAUGAAGAUAGGAGGCAAGUUGUUAUCAGACUCAUCAGAACCAUGUUUUCAAUGGUUGCGCACGCAACACAUGGCAAAUGAGAUCCCUAUUAAAGCAAAACCAACAGAAACACCGAUUUGGAAGACAGUCUGUUCCGUUAUCGAGCCAGUUAUUGCCUCCACUAAGGUAACGAUUGGGAACGGCCAGCUAGUGCAGUUUUGGCGAGACCACUGGACAGCAGUAGGACGAUUCAACCUCAUAUAUCCGACACUAGCUUCCUACGCAACAAAUAUCAACUGUACAGUCUCCUCCCAACACACUAACGGUACCUGGACAAUUGAUCUACACCCGGUUCUCUCUUCCCGGGCUCAAACCGAGUUACAGUCCCUCAUGGAUAUAUUGUUGGACCAACACAUACAACAGAAUGUCCCCGACAAAAGAACACUGCUGCUUGGUUCCACAGAUAUCACAACAUCAGCAAACUACAACUUGUUGACUUAUCAUGGCAUCCUUUGGCAGCCGGCAACACUUAUCUGGAACAAGGCUAUCCCCAACACUUGCAGGAUCUUUUUGUGGUUAGCGUUCCGAGACAGGCUCAACACCAAUGCAAACAGGGUUCUUAAAAAAUGGGAUUCCAACCCACACUGUAUGACCUGCCCAGCUAUUGAAACAUCAAAUCACAUCAUGAUAAUAUUUCAACGAAAGUAAAAGUAAGUGUAAAGCAAAAGUAGUGUGUUUUUCAUUCUUUUAUUGCAUAUAUAUUAUCAUGGUUUAUUAGAGGAUGAAUUUGGUGGCACAUGAAACUCCACUAAAUUUUAUAUAGCAUAAUAUGAUUGAUAUAGUUUGAGAGACAAUCCAUCUAUAAACAUUUCAUGUAGAGUGGGUAAGAGGUUCUACGCAACCUAACGUGAAUAUAAUUGCACAAUAAUAUUUUUGAAAUGUGAUGUACCAUGAAUAAACGAUUGUUUUUCUUAUAUAAGAUAGAUCUAACGAUUAAAAAUAAUGGUUUCACUGGUUUAAAUGGUUGUUUUAAUAUCCAACAUUAUUUUGAAUUGAACAUAGUUCAACUGGUUAGGUUCCUUGUGGUGGAAAUUUCCUACUCAUAUUCAAGUCCCGGACUUGACAAAUUCUUUCAGACGACGUAUCCAUCGACAGCGAGGCAUUCAUGGUGACUUUGUCGAUCUCAAAAUAUAUCGGCCCAAUCUCUCAGAGGUACUCAUAGGGGUAGAGUGUACGUGUGUGCGUUCGUAGGGGUAAGUGUACGUGCGUUGUGAGCGCCCACAUUUGUACUUUGUUUCUCAAGAAAAUAUCCAACAUUAUUGAUAACUUUAUUAGGGACGGGUUGACGGUGCGUAGUAUGUACAUGCCCAGGAUAUUUUUUUUGUUCUCAAUCCGGUGGAUAGUAGUACGUAUUGUACAUGUGAGAACUUUUUUAUAGUUUUUUGGGUUUUUUUGGGUGAACAGUACGUAUAUACAUUUCUCUCGUACCAAUUAGGUGGGACUGUGGCAGGGUUAAUCCUUCUUCUUACAAUGGUAAUUACGUUUUUUUCUUUUUUUUUGCCGUGAGUAGUAUAGUACGGAAGUACGCAUAUAUAUUAUUAUUUGAGAUGUAUUUUAAAUAAAUCUAAUGGUUUAAAAAUAGUGGGUCCGCCGAAUUAAAUAAAAAUCGAGGGCUGGAUGUUUUUCUUUUUUCUCAAAAUUUGUAAGGUUUUCUCUAAUUUAUUAGAAUGCCACGUGGCGGCUUGAGAGUUUUUUUUAGGAAGUUUAAUGGAUUUUUCAUAUAUAAUAGAUAGAUACACAGGACAAUACACAUGCAGCUUUUGCUUGCUUGUUCUAAAACUGAACAUAUUAUCAUGUUAUAUAGAAAUAAAAUUUAGCUUUAUCUUUACUUCCAUAUAAUUUCUAUGGCCUUAUCAAGUAGAAUUUGGUACAUAAUAGGUCAUUUCUAUCUUAAGCUCUGAAUGAUAUAUAGGUGGACAAACAGCUAGGAUAUGACUCAUUAUUUUUUAAGUAAAUCUUAUUUAGUUAUGCAUGUUUUGUGAUGCAUCAAAUUAUGGUAUAAUCUAUAUUUUGUUUUUCUCAUAAUUCAGAAUUUUUAGAACUUUUUGAAGUUCAUAAAUCUGUUUUAGUUAUGCAUGCUGGUGAAGUGAUAUAUGAUGAAAUAGUAUAUAAUGUCACUUUCUUUUAAUAAUUGUUCAUAUAUGUUUGAAUAACAUGUAAAGGUUCUCAACAAAACUUAAAUGAAUAUAAUUUUACAAUUUAAAAUAUAGUCAACAUGUGUCUUAAAUUCUAAUUGUGAUUUUAAUCAUAAAUAACACAAUGGUACAAAUAGAUAAAAAAA